UGGGGAACCUGCCCCAUAGUCUGGGAUACCACUUGGAAACAGGUGCUGAUACCGGAUAAGAAAGCGGAUCGCAUGAUCAGCUUUUAAAAGGCGGCGUAAGCUGUCGCUAUUGGAUGGCCCCGCGGUGCGUUAGCUAGUUGGUAAGGUAAAGGCUUACCAAGGCGAUGAUGCAUAGCCGAGUCGAGAGACUGAUCGGCCACAUUGGGACUGAGACACGGCCCAAACUCCACGGGAGGCAGCAGCA
rnacentral:rRNA from 1 species